GUGGGGAAUAUUGCACAAUGGGCGAAAGCCUGAUGCAGCAACGCCGCGUGAGGGACGACGGCCUUCGGGUUGUAAACCUCUUUUAGUAGGGAAGAAGCGAAAGUGACGGUACCUGCAGAAAAAGCACCGGCUAACUACGUGCCAGCAGCCGCGGUAAUACGUAGGGUGCAAGCGUUAUCCGGAAUUAUUGGGCGUAAAGAGCUCGUAGGCGGUCUGUCGCGUCUGCUGUGAAAACUGGAGGCUCAACCUCCAGCCUGCAGUGGGUACGGGCAGACUAGAGUGCGGUGGGGGAGAUUGGAAUUCCUGGUGUAGCGGUGGAAUGCGCAGAUAUCAGGAGGAACACCGAUGGCGAAGGCAGAUCUCUGGGCCGUAACUGACGCUGAGGAGCGAAAGCGUGGGGAGCGAACAGGAUUAGAAACCCCGGUAGUCC
rnacentral:rRNA from 1 species